CCUUGUACACACCGCCCGUCAAGCCAUGGGAGCCGGUAGUGCCCAAAGUCGUUGACCCAACCCGCAAGGGAGGGAGACGCCUACGGUAAGACCGGUGACUAGGACU
rnacentral:rRNA from 1 species